GCCCAGGUGGUGGAAUUGGUAGACACGCUAUCUUGAGGGGGUAGUGGCCGCAAGGUCGUGCCGGUUCGAAUCCGGCCCUGGGCA
rnacentral:tRNA from 1 species